CCAACGGUUUCAGGACUGUUGAGCUCCAUUGGCGGGAUUUCGCCGUCUUCGUUUCUCUUUCUUCGCGGACGAACACGCGUCAGGGGCUUAGCGCUGUGCGGUUGCAUUCGGCGCUGGUCGCCGGCUGCGCGCGCGCAAGAUCCCUAGUCCUAUGAAGGAUAGCGUUAGGGGCUUGUAGCUCAGUUGGUUAGAGCGCGCGCUUGAUAAGCGUGAGGUCGGAAGUUCAAGUCUUCCCAGGCCCACCACUUUCAUCGAGUGAGCAUUCGUCUUCUGGUUACGGGGCCAUAGCUCAGCUGGGAGAGCGCGUGCUUUGCAAGCAUGAGGUCGUCGGUUCGAUCCCGUCUGGCUCCACCAGAUGGUUUGAUCACCAACGGCGUAACCGUCGUCCGCGAAACAUCACUUCGCACUCAUUGGUCCGGAUGGACGGUGACGUGCGUGUUUUCUGACAUCGUAAAGAGGAGAUCGAUCCGAGUUUGGAUCUGCGAAGCAAUUCGCGGGUACCAUUCCUAAUCUCCAGAUCGUUUUCGGCGCUCGCGCAUCGCGGCUCAUCGCAAGAUGAGUGAGAUGAGCGAGUUGUAAAACGAUCUCUGUAGCGAAGCUUGACCGCCUCGCUAUCGGGCCGAUCUUACGAAGCAAGCUGGUCUUUCUAGUCAAUGUCCGGCUGCGCAAUCGCAUUCAUCGAGGAUGCGCGCCUGAGACUUCGGUCUUUGGGCAGUUGUGCAGACAACAUUCUGCCGAGUGUGUGGACAUUGAUAAUGAGAGC
rnacentral:tRNA from 1 species